GGUUAUCCGAGUGGUUUCUGCUAAAGAAACCUUUUGUCAGUCCUAGAAACACUAACGAAUAAGGGGUGGGCAAGUUCUGGUGUCAGCCGCCGCGGUAAAACCAGCACCUCAAGUGGUCAGGAUGAUUAUUGGGCCUAAAGCAUCCGUAGCCCGUUUUGUAAGUUUUCGGUUAAAUCCAUGCGCUUAACGUAUGGGCUGCCGGGAAUACUGCAUAACUAGGAAGUGGGAGAGGUAGACGGUACUCGGUAGGAAGGGGUAAAAUCCUUUGAUCUAUUGAUGACCACCUGUGGCGAAGGCGGUCUACCAGAACACGUUCGACGGUGAGGGAUGAAAGCUGGGGGAGCAAACCGGAUUAGAUACCCGGGUAGUCCCAGCUGUAAACUAUGCAAACUCAGUGAUGCAUUGGCUUGUGGCCAAUGCAGUGCUGCAGGGAAGCCGUUAAGUUUGCCGCCUGGGAAGUACGUACGCAAGUAUGAAACUUAAAGGAAUUGGCGGGGGAGCACCACAAGGGGUGAAGUCUGCGGUUCAAUUGGAGUCAACGCCAGAAAUCUUACCCGGAGAGACAGCAGAAUGAAGGUCAAGCUGAAGACUUUACCAGACAAGCUGAGAGGUGGUGCAUGGCCGUCGCCAGCUCGUGCCGUGAGAUGUCCUGUUAAGUCAGGUAACGAGCGAGAUCCCUGCCUCUAGUUGCCACCAUUACUCUCAGGAGUAGUGGGGCGAAUUAGCGGGACCGCCGCAGUUAAUGCGGAGGAAGGAGGGGGCCACGGCAGGUCAGUAUGCC
rnacentral:rRNA from 1 species